rnacentral:lncRNA from 1 species
UCUACCUUAUGGAUGAACAAAAAGUGUUUGUCAGCCUUACGACAGUCUUUUUAGAAAAAAAAUUUCUUUGGAAAGGGAUUAAUGCCUCUAAGGUUGAACUUGACAAAGUUCAAUAGGUAGAACCGACAUAAUCUAGUGAACCCACAGAAUCAGAUUUGAUGAUGACAAACUCAAAACCUAUUGUAAAGACACUAUUAAGGAGAUCUGAUAGAGUAUCAUGUCAACUGAACAGAUAUUAUGAUUUUUUGAUUCG